UCCUAAUACGCUAUCAAUUAUUUCUGGCUUUUCAUUGAACUUGUAAAUGUUCAGGGCUUUUUUCUUAAAAUUAGUUGUAAGCGAGACGUUAAAAUAACACAAUAGAAAAACCCAAUAAAAAUUUAAAAAGAAAAGAAAAUCACAUUUUAAUAUAAAACAAUAUUAAGGAAGUGUGAAACGAAUGGAGAAAUCAAUCUGAAUAAAUAUUGUUUUGUUCGAUGUACUUUUCAGAAAAUCCCCAUUCAAAUAACAAUAAAAAAUCAAAACAAAAUACCAAACUAUAAUAUCAAAAGACAAUCUAAGAAACAAAAAAAGGCUCUCGAUUACGUUUCCAAUGCCAAUUAUCGCGUGACAAAACGUAAAUCCAUCACACGGGACUCUACCGAGUCAAAAAUGAAUACGAGAGUCAGAUAUUCACUAGGGCAUAUACCAAUGAGAAAUUGUGUGUGAGAGAUAUUUAGAUGGGAGAUUUGAGGGAUGAGAGACAGAAAUAACCCCUGUACUGUGAGUUAUUAGGCGUUAUAGUUACUUAAAUUAAGUUAAUUUAGAUAUAUUUCAUAUUAUCCUACUACACUUGUACUUGUACAAUUAUCUCAAGUUUCAAUUAUUAAUCAACUAAUUUCAAUAUCUGUGUAAUUAUUUAGCGAGGCAUAAUCUUGUAAUCGCGCACUAUCCAAUUUGAAUUAUGUUGAAACCGAAACUGUUGUUGAAUGCAAAAUAUUACCAAAACUAAACCAAACAGACCGAAAAGUUAAAGAAAUUUGUGUGAUGAUCUUUAUGUAAAUGGGGUCUUCGGGCACUUGUUUGUUUCUAUGAUUAUCGCAACGAACCUGUCUCUCAACUAGUGUCGCGUUCACAACAUAAAUCAUUGUUCCGUAUGCAGUUUUUGCACGUUCCACAAAAUAGGUGUUUAGGUAUUGGAAAGUUAAGUAUCUUUGACUGUCAGGCAAAUACCCUAAAACUAUGAUUGCAAUUAUCAUAGAUAUCAAAUGAAAAGGCUACAUAAAAGCUUUGUCCUAAGUUGGGGAAAAGAUGAUCGUACUCAUUCUACGGUUCAUUGUUGUACUACCACAAAACAUCUCUUCUGCUCAGCCACGUCCAUUGAAGAUUGGUACGUAUUCGAUUUUGACAAACUUUGAAUGAACGAAACAAUUCUUUUCUAGAAUUUUCCAAGAAAGAAACAAAUCUCUUCUCCUACCAGAUUCAUUGGUACGUAUUAAAAUAAAAGAGAAAAAAAACAAGAAAAUUCAUUUGUUAACAAUAAUUUUUCUUCCUAAAAUACACAAAAAAAAAAAAGAUGAAUGAAAUGUUCGUCGGUUUGAUAGUUUCUGGGAAGUACAUUAAAGAAAAAAACUAAAUAUUUAUGAUGUGUCCGAAAGUUUUAAUUAUAAUUAAAUAAUAUAAGUGCGUCCGGUGUUAUCACGAAUUAAUAUCAAUACCAAAGUCCAUAUUUAAACGAAUCAACGAGAUUAUUGCAAGUUCACACUGCAAAAAGAUAGAACUAUCUAAAAUCAAAUAAAAAUAAUUUAAAUAAAAAUUUUAAAAAUAUUUAAAAAAAAAUAUAUAUCGAGCCCGAUCGGUGAGUAAAAAUAUUUUGUUUGAAUUUCAACAAUGAUGCUGAAUGUAUUCUAUUCUGUCGGAGUCACUUCAACAUAUCCACACGUAAAUAUGCAUUAAAUUGCCUUAAGAUACUAUAAAAUCUCGAUUGCGUCUAAGAAAAAUACAUUCAGUGUCAACGUUUUCUAGUCAUGUGCUAUACACACAGUUUCUUUUUAAUGUUUUUUUUUUUUGAUUCCUUCUGAAAUUCACAAAACAAAUCCAAAGUAAAUUGAUGUAGAUUAAGGCAAUGAAAAUCUUAUUAAGAAUCCUUGAAAAAUAUGAAAGAGUUAUAUAAAAAUGCAUAUAUAAUUUAUAAUAUAGAAAAAAAGGGUAUAAAUUGACAAAAAUGAUGUUAUACAGGCUGUAUGUAAGUGACAAAUAUUUAAUUUUUGAUAAAACUAGUUUUAAGUGAUAUUUCUAAGUGAUCUGGUUACUUUUCAAAUGAUAUUUGACAGAUAUUGAACGAGAUUUUUUGUUGAGUAUGAGUGAGUUGAUAUGGUUGGCUGCGAUGAAAACAGGA